UGCGAUCGACGUUUCAUCCAACAUCCGUGGCUUUCAUCAGGAUCAGUACAGUACUGAUGUUGGCUGAAACGUCGAUCACAUUUUAAAGGAAUGAAAUAAAGGAACCUUUUAAAAGAAAAAAGACCGUGAGUGGAAGCCAUUUUUCAAUAUUCAUAUGUUAAUUUAUGGCAUUGGCUAAAGUGCACCCGGCAUUUUGAAAUUUAAAGUGUGUGUGCAAAGACACAG